rnacentral:rRNA from 1 species
CAACAGGGAUUGCCCCAGUAACGGCGAGUGAAGCGGCAACAGCUCAAAUUUGAAAUCUGGCUCCUAGAGCCCGAGUUGUAAUUUGUAGAGGAUGCUUUUGAUGCGGUGCCUUCCGAGUUCCCUGGAACGGGACGCCAUAGAGGGUGAGAGCCCCGUCUGGUCGGAUGCCAAAUCUCUGUAAAGCUCCUUCGACGAGUCGAGUAGUUUGGGAAUGCUGCUCAAAAUGGGAGGUAUAUGUCUUCUAAAGCUAAAUAUUGGCCAGAGACCGAUAGCGCACAAGUAGAGUGAUCGAAAGAUGAAAAGCACUUUGAAAAGAGGGUUAAAUAGUACGUGAAAUUGUUGAAAGGGAAGCGCCUAUGACCAGACUUGGGCCCGGUGAAUCAUCCAGCGUUCUCGCUGGUGCACUUUGCCGGGCACAGGCCAGCAUCAGUUUGUCUUGGGGGAAAAAGGCUUUGGGAACGUGGCUCCUUCGGGAGUGUUAUAGACCAUUGCAUAAUACCCUGGGACGGACUGAGGUUCGCGCAUCUGCAAGGAUGCUGGCGUAAUGGUCAUCAGCGACCCGUCUUGAAACACGGACCAAGGAGUCGUCUUCGUAUGCGAGUGUUCGGGUGUAAAACCCCUACGCGUAAUGAAAGUGAACGCAGGUGAGAGCUUCGGCGCAUCAUCGACCGAUCCUGAUGUUCUCGGAUGGAUUUGAGUAAGAGCAUACGGGGCCGGACCCGAAAGAAGGUGAACUAUUCCUGUAUAGGGUGAAGCCAGAGGAAACUCUGGUGGAGGCUCGCAGCGGUUCUGACGUGCGAAUCGAUCGUCAAAUAUGGGAAUGGGGGCGAAAGACUAAUCGA